GGCACUGUGGCUUAGUUGGCUAAAGUACCUGUCUUGUAAACCGGAGAUCCUGGUUCAAAUCCCAGCGAGUGCCU
rnacentral:tRNA from 1 species